AGGUAAAAAGGUCAGAAAAGUUAAACAGGAGGAAUCAGCUGGAAUAGGAGAAGAAAGGUCAUCACAGGCAAGCAGAGCGAUUACCACCACCCCUCCGGACCUGCCAGCAACUUGCAGGAGCAUAUGCCCAGACUAAAAACAAAGAAUCAGUCUCAAGAAAUGGGGAAAGAACUCUCUUUUAAACCUCAAGAAGCCAUCUCCCAGUAUCCGACUAUUGUAUCACAAAACAUCCCAGCCCAAACCUCAACACCUGAAUUGCAGAAUGUUGUUUGAUAUGAUCAUGAGAGCUAAAAGAAAAGGUCAACAGAAACACAAAGACGGUGAAAACUGACUCCUUUGACUCUGCAGUAAAAGAACCUAGACUUGUCAAAGAAAUGCACAACAACCCUCCGCAACUUCUGUUCCCUAGAAGUCAAGAAGUGGUGAAACAGGCAAGGCACCCUUUUAACCAAAGGAGCUUCUUCCACUAGGUGGGGAGCGAAGCCAACUACCCAGACCAAUACCCAGCCUUCAAUAGUGUGAUGAACCUGAAUUUUUCAGAAUAAGAGCUUAAAGUUUAUUUAAGGAAACCAAGGAAAAAAACGAGCACAUUCGCCAUAACAGUUGCCCCUGUCUGCUGGUCUUCUUGCAUAUGCAUUCUGGGAAGUGAGGGAUAACUUCUUCAUCUCAUGAAAAUCUUCACAUAUUCUGGGUUGUAUCCAACCAUGUCUUUCUGUCCAUGCAAGGCCUACUGCUUGUGCAAUGGAACUUCCCCUCUCACUCCUCCCC
rnacentral:lncRNA from 1 species